rnacentral:rRNA from 1 species
AGAGUUUGAUCCUGGCUCAGAUUGAACGCUGGCGGCAGGCCUAACACAUGCAAGUCGAGCGGCAGCGGGAAAGUAGCUUGCUACUUUUGCCGGCGAGCGGCGGACGGGUGAGUAAUGCCUGGGGAUCUGCCCAGUCGAGGGGGAUAACUACUGGAAACGGUAGCUAAUACCGCAUACGCCCUACGGGGGAAAGCAGGGGACCUUCGGGCCUUGCGCGAUUGGAUGAACCCAGGUGGGAUUAACUAGUUGGUGAGGUAAUGGCUCACCAAGGCGACGAUCCCUAGCUGGUCUGAGAGGAUGAUCAGCCACACUGGAACUGAGACACGGUCCAGACUCCUACGGGAGG